CAAAAAGUAGUUUAUUUAAAAUUAUAAUUUUGGAUAUUAUAGAAGAUCUUUGAUUCUUUUUGA
rnacentral:tRNA from 1 species